GCGUGCGCAAUAUCAAUGGUGGCGCAAGGGAUGUUGGAGAUGUUUGUUGCUUACCUCCUCCCUCCACACCCUCUUAUAUGUGAAACCUCCAGAAUGGAACCUUAAUCAAAUCAGAGUAAUGAAGUAAACGGUGCUGUGGAUAUAUAAGGUGGAAGUGGAAAACAGGAUUGCUGGGAAACACUUGGAUCACCUCAGAAGUCGAGAAACCCUCCAACAACCAGUUAAUCCACCUGAAAUUGUAAGUUGAAACACCUGAGAUGCCAGAUCGACAAAGAAUAGAUAUACCAGAUGUCUCUGUUGAAGCAAAUAAUUCCGAAGUGCCAUUGCCUCAAGAUGUCCCUGAAAGUGCAGUUCCUGCGCCAGUCGAUCCAAUACAGCUCCAACUGUAGAGUUGUGUCACUGUACCCGAAUCCGAAAACCACCUCAAAGACUGAAUUUAUAAUGGCAUGAACUGUAUAUAAUUGUAUAUAGUAUGGGUUCAGAUGUUUUGUAAAUAAGAGGGUAAAACAAAAUUAAAGGGGAGGAAUGUAAUGAUUGUUAGUUAAACCAUUUUUUACUGUUAUGGAGAUCAUGUGACUGUACAGAGGGUUUUUUAGCCUUGGUCUUGCAACAAGCAUGUGGCCCCUCUGAAGUCUGUUACUAAAGUUCACUGUUCCUUACAAGAAACCUGACCUGCACUCUUCAAGUUUAUUACAGUGGCUUUGUUCCACCCCAUUGCUGAAAACUACUGAGGCAUCACAAUCUGCAAGCCCCACCCCCCAACCACACCCCAGAACUCUCUGAUUUGUCCUAUCUCAAACUCAGAGUUGAUGCUGCAUAGGCAGCAUGUGCACCAAUUAAGAUGCUUAAAAAUGGGCCUCAGGCCUCAUUAGCCUUUUGUGCAACAGCCUGUUGUGCUUCUUAGGAAACUUGUGCCUUUGAACAGCAGCCCAAAGGUGGUACCUGGAAGUGGUUUGAAGUGGCCAAAGAGGAUUGAGGGGGAUGGAGGCAAUUACUAUGACUGGAGUAAGGGAGUAAAAUUGUUCCUCCUGGAUAUACGUUUUGGAAUAUGUAUUAAUAAAAACUUGAUUCUAGUUGCCAGAUAUAGCAGCUGUGGAAGAAUCCAGAGCUGGCCAGGCCUGCUGGGAGGGCAGAGCUCCAUGUAUACAUAUUAAACCAGGUGCAGAGCUCUGCUCAUUAUUUGACUGUUGAAGUUAGAAAAAGUACCAGUGGUACAUUUGGAUCAUUAGAAAUCCAAAGAUGGUCAAGUGGAUGUUUCAAACCCACCAAACCUUAAUUUUAAAGUGGUGUGAGGUUCUCAUUGAGGUAGUCCCAUACUCAGUACUGAGCAGAUGCUGAUUAGGCUGUAGUUACACUGCACGCUUGUAUGCCCUGCAAUGUUUUUGUAGCAAUGCAAAACUACAUUUGAAUUUCAUUCUGCUUGCCCAUGUAAAGAGAUAGCGUGGUUUAGUUAAAAAUUGUAUGUAAUGAGUUAUACAAUAUAAAUAUAAUUAUGUUAUUCCAGUGGUGUUCAAUCUUUGAAAAAUCUUUUGCCUCAGGUAAUUUUGAAGAUGUUUUAUGUAAACAGUUAAGAAGGUUUUAGUGUGCUAACUUUGUACAGUGAUUGACGGAAACUUGCAGCUGAAUGGGUAGCAAUUUCAAUCAGCAUGGGAAGUAAUACUUCCCCCAGGAUCGAAGACUAUGCUCUGGCAUUGGACUGAAAUGUCAAUCAACUUCAUCUUUGAAGGAAUCUUUGGAUGUCACAGAAUAUUCAACACAGAAGAUACUGAUGGACUCUAUAACACAAGUUUAUUUCAGGAAAGGGAAGUAAAAUAGUACCUUCUGUUCAUUAUACUUUAAAAGAGAUAUCCAAUUGUUGUAGAGGUAUGAUGCAAAAUCAGGAAAACCGAUCAAAUCAGAAAUCGCUUUUAAUUACAGUUCCAUCCUGACAUAGUAAUGUGAUCUCAUCAGGUUUUUAACCAUGCGCCUUUAUAUAUCUUGGAUUAUUAAAAUUCAUGCCUAGAGUGUCAGAGACAGGGUAGCAGUGAUUGACAUUUUCCCACUGAGACAAAAUGCUGCUAAAGAAAUCGGUUUUUUUAUUUGUCAUGAGUGUCAGACAAUUUAAAACCCUGGAGAGGAAAAGUGCUUGAGGGCAGAGUUAUGAGGAUCUUACAGGCUGAGUGAUAAGGGAUAGAGACUGCAUUCAGCUCUUCUUAAAAAUAUGCAAAUGACACAGCUGAUGCAUAUGAGGCACAGUGUAUUAUGCAGACAAUAAUUGGAAAAGACAGAUCACGUGGUGUUUUCCUGCUCAUCCUCCAUAACUCUAAUGGAAGGACUGCUGACCGACACUGGAAAAAUUGGAAUAAACAAAGUUUUGGAAUAUGAGCAGGAUAGCCUGCUAGAAAUUCACCAACCCAUGUUCUUAAUUUUAAAAUUUAAGGCGCACAUAUAUUCUUAUUGCAAUGUUAUGCAUGGAUCAUACAGACCAGUGAAUUCUUGUUAGCACACUUGGUUUAAAGUAUCACAUGGACAUUUUUGUUUUCAGAAACUUUUGGAAUUAAAUUUUUUCAAGGGAAUGCUUGUUACAUAUUGUAUUUAUUGAUAUUUAUACCUGUUAUUUGUUUAACAAAGAUAUUUAAAACAA